GCGGAUUUAGCUCAGUUGGGAAAGCGCUAGACUGAAGAUCUAGAGGCCGCUAGUUCGAUCCUGUCAAUUCGCA
rnacentral:tRNA from 1 species